rnacentral:rRNA from 1 species
AACGAACGCUGGCGGCAGGCCUAACACAUGCAAGUCGAGCGAGGACUUCGGUCCUAGCGGCGGACGGGUGAGUAACGCGUGGGAACGUGCCCUUUGCUUCGGAAUAGCCCUGGGAAACUGGGAGUAAUACCGGAUGAGCCCUUUGGGGGAAAGAUUUAUCGGCGAAGGAUCGGCCCGCGUUGGAUUAGGUAGUUGGUGGGGUAAUGGCCUACCAAGCCGACGAUCCAUAGCUGGUUUGAGAGGAUGAUCAGCCACACUGGGACUGAGACACGGCCCAGACUCCUACGGGAGGCAGCAGUGGGGAAUCUUAGCCAAUGGGGGAAACCCUGAUCUAGCCAUGCCGCGUGAGCGAUGAAGGCCUUAGGGUUGUAAAGCUCUUUCAGCUGGGAAGAUAAUGACGGUACCAGCAGAAGAAGCCCCGGCUAACUCCGUG